rnacentral:rRNA from 1 species
UACGUAGGUGACCAGCGUUGUCCGGAUUUACUGGGCGUAAAGAGCGCGCAGGCGGUCGUUCAAGUCGAGUGUGAAAGCCCCCGGCUCAACUGGGGAGGGUCACUCGAUACUGAUCGACUUGAAGGCAGGAGAGGGAAGCGGAAUUCCCGGUGUAGUGGUGAAAUGCGUAGAUAUCGGGAGGAACACCAGUGGCGAAGGCGGCAUCCUGGACCGGUAUUGACGCUGAUGCGCGAAAGCCAGGGGAGCAAACGGG